UUUUUUUGUUAUAAUUUAUUUACAUUCUUUGACUAGUGUUAAAAAAUGAAGCCGCAAGUUUCCAAAGGGUUACCCCUCAUUACGAAACUCGCCAAUAAGUGCACAGUGUUUGGGAUUGUGGAGGUUAGGCCUCUAAAAAGAGUGCCCAAAAUUCACUAAUGAUCCUUCCGCAGGUUCACCUACGGAAA
rnacentral:misc_RNA from 1 species